rnacentral:rRNA from 1 species
AAUUUUGGACAAUGGGGGAAACCCCGAUCCAGCAAUGCCGCGUGCAGGAUGAAGGCUUUCGGGUUGUAAACUGCUUUUGUACGGAACGAAAAGUCUUGGGUUAAUACCCUGGUAUUAUGACGGUACCGUAAGAAUAAGCACCGGCUAACUACGUCCCAGCAGCCGCGGUAAUACGUAGGGUGCAAGCGUGAAUCGGAAUUACUGGGCGUAAAGAGUGCACAGGCGGUUUUAUAAGACAGUGGUGAAAUCCCCGGGCUCAACCUGGGAACUGCCAUUGUGACUGCAAGGCUGGAGUACGGCAGAGGGGGAUGGAAUUCCGCGUGUAGCAGUGAAAUGCGUAGAUAUGCGGAGGAACACCGAUGGCGAAGGCAAUCCCCUGGGCCUGAACUGACGCUCAUGCACGAAAGCGUGGGGGGCAAACAGG